UCCCAGGUGGGUGAAGGCGUCCACGUACCAGGAAGGUGACACACCCCAACUUCAUGGACAGAAGCUCCUAAGCUCAGGAUCCUCCCAGACAUCGCCCUGUGGAUCUCAUCUGGCUGUUCAUCUCAGAGUCCCCCAAAAAUAUAGCCACCAUUAACCCCCCUCCGAUGGAGUUUCCUGUUUGGGAGAAAACACUCUCAGCACCAAGAAGUGAGAAUUCAGCUGCCAUAAAUUCUCCUCCAGGGGGAUUUCCAGCCAGGAAGGAGACGGCCCAUUAAAAUCAAUAUGAAAAAGCCCAAUAAAAUCAUCCAUGUUUUCCCAUUGAAGCCCUUAACACCCCCUUGUUCCCUGUUAAGCAGUUGUAUAAACUGUAUGAGUAUACCCACAUAUAUGUAAAUAAACUUUGUCUUUUCUCCUGUGAA